AGCGGGCCUGUCUGCGCGCAGCUGUCCACGGCCCCCGGGGAGAGCCCACCGGCACGCUCCCCUGCAGUCGGCGGGAGCCUGGGACGCCUCCCAUGGACGAGCUCCGCGGUGGUGGCCCGCCUGGCCGCAGGGAGACUGAAGACAAGUAAAAGCAAGUUGGCACAAAUACAGACCUGCGGGGCGGCAGGAAGGAGCGCGAGACCAAGAGGGCAUUCCACACGUGCCUGGCACUCUCCCAGCCCUGCCCGCGCUCAGCCCCACGCUCACGCCUCAGCCAGCGCGAGAUCACACAGAAAAGGGAAAAGAUGGAGAUGCCAAGCCCAUGCCAGGACUACGCAAGAAGUGUCGACAUCUGGGCAGUGUUCACAAACCAGGCUUGUGGGGUUGCCAUAGAGUCAACCACUGUCACUGUGGCCAGAGAAGCCCUGGAACUGGUCCCCUGCUUCAUGAGAAUGGUCAGGCCAUGUCAGACCUCCUGGUGUGCCUCAGAUGAAGGGGACCACAGCUCCGCCGGGAGAGGAACUCCGGCCAUUCUCUAGGUAACGGCAAUGGCCCACCCUCCCAAGACAUCAAGUGCUGUCUCUAAAGGAUGCAAACAACCCCCCACACAUACACCUUCUUACACCCAGAAUGAGACACCAGAGCUUUCCUGAAGUCAGUUGUAUUGUCUUCUGGGUAAAAUGCACAGAGAAGGAAACCCGUGGAUCACAGGAACACAGCUUGAAGUUUUGAGAAAUGCACAUGCCUGAGCAUCCGCCACUCUAAUCAGUCAAGGUGUAGGAUGCCGUGGGCACGCGGCCCUGCAAUGCCCUGCUAGACAGUGCCACCCAGGCGGGGGACCCACUUUUCUGACCUCUGUCAUCAUAGAUUAAAUUUGCCUAUUCAGGAACUUCAUAUAAAUGGAAUCAUAAAGUAUACAUUUUUUAGGGUCUGACUUAUCUCCCUCAGCAUGAUGUUUUUGAAAUUCAUGUAUGGUUUCAUUUGUCAAUAGUUUAUUUCUUGUUAUUUGUAACUAAUAGGCUAUU